GUGCUCAGUUCAGCAGCACAUAUUCUAAAAUUGGAAUGAUACAGAGAAGAUUAGCAUGGCCCCAUGCAAGGAUGACAUGUAAAUUCAUGAAGCAUUCCAUAUUUAA
ensembl:snRNA U6 U6 spliceosomal RNA